GACGGAGGGUGCAAGCGUUGUUCGGAUUCACUGGGCGUAAAGGGUGCGCAGGCGGUCGGGUGUGUCAGAUGUGAAAUCCCGAGGCUCAACCUCGGAACUGCGUCUGAAACUACUCGACUAGAGUACUGGAGAGGGUAACGGAAUUCACGGUGUAGCAGUGAAAUGCGUAGAUAUGUGGAGGAAUACCGAUGGCGAAGGCAGCCCCCUGGGAUAACACUGACGCUCAUGCACGAAAGCGUGGGGAGCAAACAGG
rnacentral:rRNA from 1 species